rnacentral:rRNA from 1 species
UACGGGGGGAGCAAGCGUUGUUCGGAUUUAUUGGGCGUAAAGAGCUCGUAGGCGGUCUGUCGCGUCUGCUGUGAAAACUCAGGGCUUAACCCUGAGCUUGCAGUGGGUACGGGCAGACUAGAGUGCGGUAGGGGAGACUGGAAUUCCUGGUGUAGCGGUGAAAUGCGCAGAUAUCAGGAGGAACACCGAUGGCGAAGGCAGGUCUCUGGGC